AGUGUGAGCCGGGGUAAGCUUGGUGCUACUUCUUUUCUUUUGUUUGUUAUUUUCUUUGAAUAAGAGGAUUGAGAAUUUCUAAAUAUUGUGAAGUGAAUUAUCGAAUGGAAAUGUGAUUGGUAUUAUUUGAGAAGAAGAAAGAUUGAAUGUUGAAAUCUGAUUGUGGUUCAGCAGAGAGAAUGAGUCUGUGUUUGUGUGAAACACUGUAAUGUGAAUGGCAGUUCUGUGUGAAGAAUUCUAGUGAUUAGAACAAGGGUAAUUGUGUACUGAAAGCUGUGAAGGCAUAGUAUUACAGUUGGAGAUUAUGAGGGUGAAUAUAUUGGUGGAAAUAGCAGUUAUUGGUAUGACUGAAUUGCUAUAAGGAAGAGACCGAUAAGGUGAAAGAGGAGAUUAUAGUUUCCUUAUGUGUUCAGAUAUUGGAAAUAGAGACGAUACAUUCAGGAGGUAAUUGAUUGUGUGACCCUAA
rnacentral:lncRNA from 1 species